rnacentral:tRNA from 2 species
GCAGGAGUAGCUCAGUUGGUUAGAGCACUCGCCUGAUAAGCGAGAGGUCAGCAGUUCAAGUCUGCUCUUCUGCA